GACGAACGCUGGCGGCGUGCUUAACACAUGCAAGUCGAACGGAAAGGCCCUGCUUUUGUGGGGUGCUAGAGUGGCGAACGGGUGAGUAACACGUGAGUAACCUGCCCUUGACUUUGGGAUAACUUCAGGAAACUGGGGCUAAUACCGGAUAGGAGCUCCUGCUGCAUGGUGGGGGUUGGAAAGUUUCGGCGGUUGGGGAUGGACUCGCGGCUUAUCAGCUUGUUGGUGGGGUAGUGGCUUACCAAGGCUUUGACGGGUAGCCGGCCUGAGAGGGUGACCGGCCACAUUGGGACUGAGAGACGGCCCAGACUCCUACGGGAGGCAGCAGUGGGGAAUAUUGCACAAUGGGCGGAAGCCUGAUGCAGCAACGCCGCGUGCGGGAUGACGGCCUUCGGGUUGUAAACCGCUUUCGCCUGUGACGAAGCGUGAGUGACGGUAAUGGGUAAAGAAGCACCGGCUAACUACGUG
rnacentral:rRNA from 1 species